GUUAAACGGCCGCGGUACCCUAACCGUGCGAAGGUAGCACAAUCACUUGUUCUUUAAAUCAGGACUAGUAUGAACGGCCCCACGAGGGCUAUACUGUCUCCCCCCUUUAAUCAGUGAAACUGAUCUCCUCGUGAAGAAGCGAGGAUACCCAAAUAAGACGAGAAGACCCCAUGGAACUUUAAACUUGUACCACUGCCCAUAGUAUACCACACCAACCAGGGCAAUAAUGACUACGAGUCUUUCGGCUGGGGCGACCACGGAGAAAAAUUAAACCUCCACGAUGAAAGGGACACCCUCCCCCCUAAUCCUAGAGCUACUGCUCCAAGAAUCAACAAAUUGACAUAAAUUGACCCAAACACCUUGAUCAACGAACCAAGCUACCCUGGGGAUAACAGCGCAAUCCAUUUCAAGAGACCCCAUCGACAAAUGGGCUUACGACCUCGAUGUUGGAUCAGGGUAUCCCGGUGGUGCAGCCGCUACCAAAGGUUCGUUUGUUCAACGAUUAAAACCCUACGUGAUCU
rnacentral:rRNA from 1 species